rnacentral:rRNA from 1 species
UACGUAGGUGGCAAGCGUUGUCCGGAUUUAUUGGGUUUAAAGGGUGCGUAGGCGGCCCCGUAAGUCAGUGCUGAAAUAUCCCGGCUUAACCGGGAGGGUGGCAUUGAUACUGCAGGGCUUGAGUAAAGUUGAGGUAGGCGGAAUUGACGGUGUAGCGGUGAAAUGCUUAGAUAUCGUCAAGAACACCGAUAGUAUAGACAGCUUACUAAGCUUUAACUGACGCUGAGGCACGAAAGUGUGGGGAUCAAACAGG